GCCUGGCUGGCUUAGUUGGUAGAGCAUGUGACUCUUGAUCUCAAGGUUGUGAGUUUGAGCCCCACACUGGGUG
rnacentral:tRNA from 1 species